AUUGAACGCUGGCGGCAGGCCUAACACAUGCAAGUAGAACGAGUGGCGGACGGGUGAGUAAUGUCGGGGAAACUGCCUGAAGGAGGGGGAUAAAUACUGGAAACGGUAGCUAAUACCGCAUACCAUCGGAUGUGCCCAGAUGGGAUUAGCUAGUAGGGGGGGUAAAGGCUCACCUAGGCGAAGAUCCCUAGCUGGGCUGAGAGGAUGACCAGCCACACUGGAACUGAGACACGGUCCAGCCUCCUACGGGAGGCAGCAGUGGGGAAUAUUGCACAAUGGGCGCAAGCCUGAUGCAGCAAGGCCGCGUGUAUGAAGAAGGCCUUCGGGUUGUAAAGUACUUUCAGCGGGGAGGCGUUACCCGCAGAAGAAGCACCGGCUAACUCCGUGCCAGCAGCCGCGGUAAUUC
rnacentral:rRNA from 1 species